rnacentral:rRNA from 1 species
UACGUAGGGGGCAAGCGUUGUCCGGAAUCAUUGGGCGUAAAGCGCGUGUAGGCGGUUUCGUAAGUCUGCUGUGAAAGUCGGAGGCUCAACCUUCGAAAGCCGGUGGAUACUGUGAGACUUGAGUACGGAAGAGGAGAGUGGAAUUCCUGGUGUAGCGGUGAAAUGCGCAGAUAUCAGGAGGAACACCAACGGCGAAGGCAGCUCUCUGGGACGUUACUGACGCUGAGGCUCGAAAGCGUGGGGAGCAAACAGG